UGGUGGCGAGCGGCGGACGGGUGAGUAAUGCCUAGGAAUCUGCCUAGUAGUGGGGGAUAACGUCCGGAAACGGGCGCUAAUACCGCAUACGUCCUACGGGAGAAAGUGGGGGAUCUUCGGACCUCACGCUAUUAGAUGAGCCUAGGUCGGAUUAGCUAGUUGGUGAGGUAAUGGCUCACCAAGGCGACGAUCCGUAACUGGUCUGAGAGGAUGAUCAGUCACACUGGAACUGAGACACGGUCCAGACUCCUACGGGAGGCAGCAGUGGGGAAUAUUGGACAAUGGGCGAAAGCCUGAUCCAGCCAUGCCGCGUGUGUGAAGAAGGUCUUCGGAUUGUAAAGCACUUUAAGUUGGGAGGAAGGGCAGUUACCUAAUACGUGAUUGUUUUGACGUUACCGACAGAAUAAGCACCGGCUAACUCUGUGCCAGCAGCCGCGGUAAUACAGAGGGUGCAAGCGUUAAUCGGAAUUACUGGGCGUAAAGCGCGCGUAGGUGGUUUGUUAAGUUGGAUGUGAAAGCCCCGGGCUCAACCUGGGAACUGCAUCCAAAACUGGCAAGCUAGAGUAUGGUAGAGGGUGGUGGAAUUUCCUGUGUAGCGGUGAAAUGCGUAGAUAUAGGAAGGAACACCAGUGGCGAAGGCGACCACCUG
rnacentral:rRNA from 1 species